CCUACGGGUGGCUGCAGUCGAGAAUCUUUCUCAAUGGGGGAAACCCUGAUCGUGCGACGCCGCGUGGGGGAAUGAAGGUCUUCGGAUUGUAAACCCCUGUCAUGUGGGAGCAAAUUAAGAAGAUAGUACCACAAGAGGAAGAGAUGGCUAACUCUGUGUCAGCAGCCGCGGUAAUACAGCGGUCUCAAGCGUUGUUCGGAGUCACUGGGCGUAAAGCAUGCGUAGGCUGUUUCGUAAGUCGUGUGUGAAAGGCGCGGGCUCAACCCGCGGACGGCACAUGAUACUGGGAGACUAGAGUAAUGGAGGGGGAGCCGGAAUUCUCGGUGUAGCAGUGAAAUGCGUAGAUAUCGAGAGGAACACUCGUGGCGAAGGCGGGUUCCUGGACAUUCACUGACGCUGAGGCACGAAGGCGAGGGGAGCGAAAGGGAUUAGAUACCCCUGUAGUC
rnacentral:rRNA from 1 species